GUCCAGCCAAUCAGCAGCAGACCCUCCCUCCCACACCCUCCCACCUCCUGGACAGCUCACUAAGAAUGCAGCUUCACAAUGAAUGUAAAAUGGAUGCUGUCCAGGAGGUGGGAGGGUCUGGGAGGGAGGGUCUGCUGCUGAUUGCCUGG